GUGAUCCAUCAUAUAGGAGCGAAAGACUUUUGUGAUGGUAUGGUUGUUCGCAUUGGACGUCGCCUAGAUUUGAACUAUGCAUUUAUUUGGAGCUAAUCAUCUGGAGGAU